rnacentral:rRNA from 1 species
CCAAUAGCGUAUAUUAAAGUUGUUGCAGUUAAAAAGCUCGUAGUUGAAUUUCGGGGUUCAUCCGUUGGUCGGGCUUUUUGGUCUGUACUGGCGUGAUGGAUUCCUACCUUCUGAAUAACCAGCAUGUCAUUAAUUUGGUGCGCUGGGGAAGCAGGACUGUUACCUUGAAAAAAUUAGAGUGCUUAAAGCAGGCUAUCGCCUGAAUACAUUAGCAUGGAAUAAUGAAAUAGGACGGCAUGGUUCUAUUUUGUUGGUUUCUAGGAUCACCGUAAUGAUUAAUAGGGAUAGUUGGGGGCAUUAGUAUUCAAUUGUCAGAGGUGAAAUUCUUGGAUUUAUUGAAGACUAACUUCUGCGAAAGCAUUUGCCAAGGAUGUUUUCAUUAAUCAAGAACGAAAGUUAGGGGAUCGAAGACGAUCAGAUACCGUCGUAGACUUAACCAUAAACUAUGCCGACUAGGGAUCGGACGAUGUUAAUUUUUUAAUGACUCGUUCGGCGCCUUACG